rnacentral:rRNA from 1 species
UUAAAUUGAAGAGUUUGAUCAUGGCUCAGAUUGAACGCUGGCGGCAGGCCUAACACAUGCAAGUCGAACGGUAACAGAAAGCAGCUUGCUGCUUUGCUGACGAGUGGCGGACGGGUGAGUAAUGUCUGGGAAACUGCCUGAUGGAGGGGGAUAACUACUGGAAACGGUAGCUAAUACCGCAUAACGUCGCAAGACCAAAGAGGGGGACCUUCGGGCCUC